ensembl:snRNA U1 U1 spliceosomal RNA
AUACUUUCCUGGCAGGAGGAAUACCAUGAUCAUGAAGGUGGUUUUUCUUAAGGCGAGGCUCGUCCAUUGUACUUUAGGUGUACGUAUUGAUGCCUGCGAUUUCCCUAAAUGUCAGAAACUCGACUGCGUAAUUUGUGGUAGUGGGGGACUGCAUUCGCGCUUUUUUCUG